ACUAUGUCUAGCCCAACAAAAAUUUAAUGAAAUAAUAUUACUAAUUUUAAUAUAAAACAUUUAUUACUACAAAAGUAUAGGAGAUAGAAAUUCUACUUGAUGAGCAAUAGAGACAGUACCGUAAGGGAAAGAUGAAAGAUCUCCUUAAUAGUAUAAAAAAGCAAAGAUUAACACUUCUACCUUUCGCAUAAUGAAUUAACUAGAAAAAAUUUGGCAAAGAGAACUGAAGCCAAAUACCCCGAAACCAGACGAGCUACCUAAGAGCAAUUUAUUGAAUCUAACUCAUCUAUGUAGCAAAAUAGUGAGAAGACUUCUAGGUAGAGGCGAUAAACCAAUCGAGUCUGGUGAUAGCUGGUUGUCCAAGAAAGAAUUUUAGUUCAACCUAAAAUUUACUGAAUAUACUAAUAAAUAUAAUGUAAAUUUUAGUUAUAAUUUAAAGAGGGACAGCUCUUUAAAUAUAGGAUUCAACCUUAUUUAGUGAGUAAGCUUAUUAUCUCUUCAUAGUUGGCCUAAAAGCAGCCAUCAAUUAAGAAAGCGUUCAAGCUCAACAAUCUCAAUAUCUUAAUUUUAAUAACCUUCUCAAACUCCUAAAAUCACAUUGGACUAAUCUACCUUUAGUAGAUGAGACUCUGUUAAUAUAAGUAAUAAGAAUUAUUUCUCCGAGCACAAGUGUAUAUCAGAACGAAUACUCACUGAUAAUUAACAACUAAAUAACUUUAUAUAUUUACCUAGUUAUAAUAUUUUAAUUUUUUUGUUAAUCCAACACAGGCGUGCAAUAAGGAAAGAUUAAAAAAAAUAAAAGGAACUCGGCAAACUUAAAUCCCGCCUGUUUACCAAAAACAUCACCUCUAGCAUUCCAAGUAUUAGAGGCUCUGCCUGCCCAGUGACAUGUGUUAAACGGCCGCGGUACUCUGACCGUGCAAAGGUAGCAUAAUCAUUUGUUCUCUAAAUAAGGACUUGCAUGAAUGGCAACACGAGGAUUUAACUGUCUCUUAUUUUUAAUCAAUGAAAUUGACCUUCCCGUGAAGAGGCGGGAAUAAGACUAUAAGACGAGAAGACCCUAUGGAGCUUCAAUUAAUUUAUUUAAUAAAUUAUUAUUAUUAUUAUUCAACAGAAAUACAUUAAAUUUAUAUAAAUAAAAUAUUUUGGUUGGGGUGACCUCGGAGAACAAAAAAACCUCCGAAAGAUAUAAUACCUAAACUCACAAGUUGCAGUUUAAAUCUAUUAAUUGACCCAAUAAUUGAUCAAUGGACCAAGUUACCCUAGGGAUAACAGCGCAAUCCUAUUAAAGAGUUCAUAUCGACAAUAGGGUUUACGACCUCGAUGUUGGAUCAGGACAUCCUGAUGGUGCAGCAGCUAUCAAAGGUUCGUUUGUUCAACGAUUAAAGUCCUACGUGAUCUGAGUUCAGACCGGAGAAAUCCAGGUCGGUUUCUAUCUAUAAUCAUUAUUUCUCCUAGUACGAAAGGACCAGAGAAAUAAGGCCAACUUUACAAAAGCGCCUUUAAUAAAGUAAUGAAUUCAUCUAAAUUUUAUUAUAAAAUUAAUACUCUAGAUCAGAGUCC
rnacentral:rRNA from 1 species